GGGGUUAUAGCUCAGUGGUAGAGCAUAUGCUUAGCAUGCACGGGGUCCUGGGUUCAAUCCCCAGUCCGUCCA
rfam:Camelus ferus unplaced genomic scaffold scaffold1095, whole genome shotgun sequence.